rnacentral:ncRNA from 1 species
CCCAUCCGACCCGUCUUGAAACACGGACCAAGGAGUCUAACAUGUGCGCGAGUCAUUGGGCUCUGCGAAACCUAAAGGCGAAAUGAAAGUGAAGGCCACGCACUUGUGCUGGUGCUUAGGGGUGAUGGUCGUUCCUACACGGGCGGCCCGCAACCCCGGGGCGUCUCGUUCUCUUUGAGAAGUGGCGCACCCAGAGCGUACACGUUGGGACCCGAAAGAUGGUGAACUAUGCCUG